UUGCCCAUCAGGGGGAUGAGAGUUUCAGACGACCAACAUAUGCUGAGGUGGUCUCUAGAAAGAAAAAUACCCAGUGUUCAGAAAAGGAUCAGAACUCCUCGAGUAUCAUUAAGUUUCUAAAUGUCACUGUGCCCAAAUUCUCUAAAAAGGGUUCUCCUGAAAUUGCCAAUCACUUAGAACUGUACCAGUCCACCAUGGAUUCUUUAAAAUUGUAUUCUGAUGCGGACAGGAUCAGGUUCCUACCAUGGGCAUUUGAUGGUAAAUAUCGCCACUACUUUAUUUCAUUUAGGGAGAGGGGAAUUCAGGAUUGGCAGGAUGUUUUGCAUGAGGUCAAAUUAGAAUUUGGACCUUACCGUACUGUUACUGCUGCAAAACGUGAUAUCUAUAAACUUACAUGUAGACCCAAUCAGAGUCCCCGUGAAUUCCUCCCUAUCCUUAAAAAUGCCUAUGGGUUGGCGUAUAGAUCCCCAAACUGGGAGUCUGAGGAGUUCAAACAGCUGUUUUAUGAUGCAAUGCCCAUGCAAAUUAAACUUAGCUUGGCUAGAGAUCUUGAUCUCAAAGCUCCCUUGGACAGGUUGGUGACGGCUGCCACCUCACUGUAUAACAUCAGUGAAUGCCAUGCUACAGGUGAGAGGAGAUAUAAAAAGUCCCCAGAACAAAGCAUAGCAGAAGCUAAGGUAAACCCUAGCUUCAAAUUUGAAACGCAGCCACGUAAGUACCCUCAGUCUACAGGACCUGUCCAACAAACCCAGCGACAACAGUUAGGACCCAAGCAAACAAGACCUCAGAGCCCCAAUGGGCCAGAGGGGGAUAACUCCAGUGCUGGCAGGUUUAACUACCGUCCCCGAUAUUACAAUAGGGGUCCCCAAGGGGGAUACAGGCGCUGGAACAACAGGCCCAGACAACAGAAGGAAAAUAGGCCUGAAUCCCCUACCUCACCUAGAAGUCGGUCACCCACUUCUAAUAAGGGCACACCAGAGGUCCAAACUGUGCGCAAACCAAACAAUCGUUUGGAUCAGUUGGCAGAUCAAGUGGCCAAAUUACAGGAGAUCGUUAGUAAAAUGUCCCAGGUGUCAACUGGAAAACAGCCUGAGUCUUUUUUAGGGGCAACUGCAGGACCCAGCUCAGCCCCAUAAUGCAGGCAGGGCAGGGUCAGAGCCCAGGCCGGUGCAAGGCUACUGAGAUGGUUGUAAAAGAAUCUAAUGUGAUUUCUAAUCCUACUUUGCCUUGCAGUGUUCUUGUCCCUAAAAUUGAGGCCAAGGAGGAGAUGUCUAACAUGUUGUCUAUAUUACAGUCUAAUCAUGAUGAUUCCUGCACUAAUGUGUCUUCUCCAGUGAGUGAUCCUAUCACCUCAGCGUCCAUCUGCGAGCUGCCGUCUGUAAGCUGUGAUGUGAUCCAGUGUUCUCCGAAGGUGGGGGCUGCUGCUGCCACCGCGAGCAGCAAGAAUUCCAAGAAUUCAUCAGAGGUCGCGACGCUGCAGAAAGGUCAAAUCCUUAACAAAUGUCAAAUAAGUGAUCACCCUAAUUUUUUAUGUGAUUUGUUUCAGAUAGAAGGCCGAUAUUUUCUUGAUUCCUAUCUCCAAGAUGAACUUAUCGGACCAAUCAGGGGUUUACUUGACACAGGAUCACAAGCCACUAUAUUGUCAUAUAGUUACUUCCAACAAGUAUUAGAGGUGACAGCAAAGAAGCCGAAACUGAAAUCGUUUGAUGGCUCUUUGAUAAGUGUCGGCGGAGGCGCUUUGCAGGUAAAAGGUACAUCAUGGUUAAAAUUCAAAAUUGGUAAGAAGAUAAUUAGACAUCCCACUCUGAUCGUGGACCUUCCCUAUGAUCGGCUGAUCAUAGGAAUUGACCUCCUGAGAAGAUUGAGUUCCAUAGUAGACUUCAUCAAUGAAGCCGUCUGGACUCAGGUGAAGGCACCCAUUGCCUAUGAGUACUCUUGCAAUGCACAAUCCCAACGUAAUUGUCAUGUGAUUGAGGAAAGGUUUAACUCUGUUGAAGUUCAUUUUAGGAACAAUCAAACACCGGAUGUCACAAUCCUGAAAAAUGGUAAACCCGAGGAAGCCGUCAGCAGUGCCGCACAUACCAUAGCCAUCCAGAAGGACAGAAUUGAAAAGGUGAACAAUAUGGCCCGGGUGAAAUACGCCAAGAUGGAUCUGAAAUCCGAAGCCAGUUACAUAAGCCUAAGUCUGUUGAAACAGAUCGCUAAUCCUAAAAUGAUUAAAGUUUCCUCUCCACAGGACCAAUGGGUUCAUGAUCUGGAUGGAGAUUCCCAGAGUCAUAAUGUGAUUGCAAGAUGUCUUUUGUCUAUUUCCAUAGGAGAUAAAACCACAGAACAUUUAUUCAUUGUGUUGAAUGAACCACGGUACCAGCUGUACAUAGGUAAUGACCUUCUACACCGAUUUGCCGUGCAGAUUGAUCUGGUCAACAAUACUCUAUGGUCCAGAUUACCUGGGAACCCGGAGGGAUUCCAGGAUGAAGAACAAGCCUUGAGAUGGGGACAACAGAUGCCCUAUGCCGUCACAACUUCGCCAAAUGGAAGGAUUGCCGGAUGAUGAAGAGUAAAGAGAUAACAAGGUUCCAGCUAAAGACGGAAACCCAGGAUUGGUAUAGUGCAAAAUGGCACGGAGGGUUGUUGCCGUUAUCUACAUCGUCCUGAUCUUGGGGAAGGAGUUCCAGGCCGAGCCGAUUGCUGUACCAGGCCCUUCAUCUGGGAUCAUGCUACAGGAUACCACGGGAUUCAUCUUGAC